CAAAUUAUAGGGUUGUCUUCUGCCCUUAAAUAAAGCUAGAUAUUUAAGGUUCUUGUGACAGCUUAUAUGCUCCAAGAACUUCACUAGAAAAGUAGAUUAUGAGAAAUAAACGCAUAUGUGAACCUUCUGGUAAUGGUUCACUGGAAUUGGGAUAAAUUUGAGCACAUAUAGCAUUGUGCGGUUUGUCUUCUUUAUCAGCUUUUUGGCUUUAUAAACUACUUAUGAACUAGAUGACCAGUUCAAAACUAAUGAAGUUUUACUAAAUUAAUCAGUAAGAAGGAUUUACGGAUCUCUAGUUUUAAAUUAGAUUGUCAAAAUACUUUGUUCCCCACACUUCGAAAAUUUGAGUCAUGUUUAGGUUUAACUUACAUAGGAGAAUUCCUUUUUUUUUUUUUUUCUGAAAUUCAGACCAUCUCUCCAGUCAAAUACUAAGAUGUCAUAUAAAUCAAAUUAAUUUGUUUAAGUGUAUUACACAAUCAUACUUCAUGUAUAUAAAUGUUACCACAAAAUCAAGAGUAAGAAAAGUUUGUCUUGCAACUAUUCAAGAAAUGGAAGCUUGGUGUAAAUUCAAAACAAAAAUGGAGAUUUCUAUACUAAGGUAAACCCCAAAAUAAUUGAAAAUGAUAAUCUCAUGAAAUAACAAAGAUGGUGAGAUGAAAGAUUACUAAGUAAGAUAAAGGUGCGAUUAAGGCGUUCAAUCGAGGAAACUUGUAGAUGCCAAAUUGACAAUUUGAUGCACAUAUGCUUAAUAGUAUUCAAGUGUUCAUUCUUAAAAGUUGGAAUUGGGCCAAUAUUGUAAUUCAGCCCGGUUGUAUAUUUAUUACAUUAUACUGUUAUAUUCAUGGAAACAGUGAUGUAAAUGAAUAAAACAUUUCAUCUACAGUGAAUAUAAUAUUAGGGUAAAUUAUUUAUAAUUCUUCUGUAAUUUUAUAUAAUGUCAGACGAUCUCCCAUAUGUUUCAAAAUAGUCACAUCACCCCCUAUGAUUUUAUGUAAAGCAGAGAAUAAAUAAAAAGUACUAUCAAUUACAAUGUGUAUACCAAACGUGCUCUAAAAAUAUGUGUCAUAAAAUCUUAGUUUUCAUGUAAUCCACUUAUGAGAUGUAUAAUUAUCCACUUUACCUCCUAUAAUUUUUGUAUUUAUCCAAAUAAUCCCCUAUGCUUUUAUAUAAGAUAGUUAAACUGUCAAUUGAUUUAGCAUUUAUACAAGGGCACUAUUAAUAUGUUAAUUAAUAGUCGUCCAAGCAACCAUCAAGACACAGCCAACAGAACAAGCUAUUAGCAACUCAAAUUUUAUCAAUCAUUACAUGUACUAGAGCUUAAUUGGCAAGGAAGAAGUGAAUUUACUUGGCUUUUAAUUCGUUCUUUAUCCUCGAAGCAGUCUUUGCAUAUCUACCAGAGGGAAUUUUGUCAAUGUAUUAACUGCAUUUCCCUGCUUCACUAAUGGUUAGAACAUAAAUAAAGCAAGGUGUUCUGGAACAACGUCAAAUCAAACAUAAAACCAAUUUAUGCAUGACAAGGGCAGAAAUUAAGGUCAAUACAUGCUGCUAAAUUUACUCCAUUACCAAGGACAACUUCACCGAUGAUCUUGGGAUUUGUAGUAGUUGUUGCGAUGGUGAACAACCAUGGUGCUGUACUUGUAAUCUGUCCUUGUACAAGACCAUUAUUUCCUGCCGAUUACAGUAAGUAUUCCCUUCUGUGCUGCAUGAAAAGAUCCAAUUGCUAUAGAAUUAUCUUUCAAUCAACCGGAUAAUUGAAACCAAUUAAAAUUGUAAUAAUGUCUACUCCAUCGGCUAUAGCAUCGUUGAAUCAAGCCAAUAUAUCAGCAUCAUCACAGCAUGGAAAAGCACAAGCAUUGUAUACAGCAUUCCUUGCUGCAGGCGCCCCUCCUCGUAUAGUACCUUCUACAAUUCCAUAGUAACUCACAUCCAUGACAAUGUUUCCUGCAGCUGUGUGCGUUCCAUUAUGACCCUAUAAAUCUGUUGCAGAAUCUGAUACAUGGUACCGAGCUCCAAUAAUUUUUCUGUAGACAUGUACACAUCAAAAUGAUAAUCGAAGUUUCCCAUUCAACAUUUCCUAUGUAAACUAACAAAAAGUAGAAACUUUUCCUGUUGCACAUGAAAUCAAUCCCGCCGUAACACACUCCUUUCCAUUUGCUGGGAAUAGGACCAAAACUUUGUUCACGAAAACUCUCUGAUUCUGGCCAAAUUCCAGAAUCAAGUAACUCCUAUGACUAUAUCACUCUCAAAUGCAAGAUUUCGGGGGGCACUUAUAGGAAAACAAAUAAAGUCGCACGAUGCUGUUGUAUAAGUUGAAGCCUUUUGCUUGGAAAUAUAGAAACCACAUGAUCAUGAGCUGCAAAUUUAGUUAAGAACUCACACAUUAGUGGAAGAUUAAUAGAUUUCAAAAAUCAGGAAAGUUGAAAGAGACUAACGUUGCAAAAUUGCACAGACCAGCCAACUUUUGCUGCUCUUGCUUUGUAAGGUAGGCUGAAAAUCCAUUGAAACUCCUAGUAUAACUUCUUCCCAAGAUUUCCCCUUGAUAAUUUCCAUGACAUAAAGAAAAAGAAAUAAAUAAUGUUAUAAAAAAGUUUUUUUUAUGCAUCAAUUGGUAUGUAGUAUAAGUUUGUGGGCACUGAAUAUAUGCAUUAAUUGCUAUCUUAAGCUUCUUCCAGGAUACUAACAUGGUGCUCGGAAGCUGAAUAUUCUCUUUCAGGAUGCGAUUCCACGUAAACUGUAAACCUGUCAUCAAGUAAAAGAAAACUAUCAUUUCUUGACUUGCUGCAUGUUAUUGAAUUUGAACGCUUCAGUUAUGCGACAGUUAUAUUUAUCGUGUAAAAUGUUGUAGUUAUGAUCACUACAUUGAAGUACAAUGCUGCAAAUUCAAUAUAUUACCCGAUACGCAUUAAUCAAAGAAAAUUAAUCUUUUACAGAAAUGAAAAGAGAAGAUAUCAAUGGCACUAUUGCCAAUACUGAUGGGCAACAUAUCCAGUUCUAUAGGCAACAUUAGCCAUUGUUUUCAGGAAUUACAUUUUCUAGCUCCAACUAUAUAUUGUUACUUAUGUUCCUUAAUGUAUGUUAAUCUCUAUUAGUACAUUUUUUCAGACCUAAAAGAUUUCUGGGUCGUACAAUACGAAAUCAAAAGGUGAUGUGUACAAAUGGUCCUUAGAAAGGGUAAGCCUGUCUCUUAGGACUUAAAUACAAGGAUCAAAGAUGCAUGUCCCAUUUUGUGCAUAAUUAAUAUCAAAAACCAACCUGAUUUGUUUAGAAAAGUUUGUUAAAACAAUGCAACAUUACCUUUAGUCAAAAAUCGUGGGCUAUUGUUGCAUUUAUGAGUUACAUAAAAGUCAUCCAUACAGGCAGAAGAAAUCCAGCAUUUCUUGCGGCUUUGGAGUGCUUCGUUUUUACUCAUGCUUGUAUCUUGAGCCAGAUUUGAUAUCUCAAGAAUGAGACUCUGAUAAGAUUAGAGUAAGUAUGCUCAAGAUUUGAAGCGAGGCUCAACUUAGUAAUGUUUUGUGCAAGAUUAUUUGUGAGUGUUGUUAUUUUAUACAUUUUUUUAGUGUAAUGUAUUAUUUGUUUGCCUUUAUUAUCAGUAGACUUAAUCCAUUAAUUUGGUAAAUCCACCACAAUCUAACAAAGCUCUGUUACUCGGGGAGUCCCAUGGACACAGUACCCGUACAAAAUAAAGAUUCCAACAUAGAUAUGGGAGGGCAAAAUAGAGAGUCUGAAAAACAUAAUAGAAAAGCUUGAGAAGGGAAGUGGAUAAUGGACCAAUGAGAACAAGAAAAUAAAACAAUUAAACCCUAAUAUUUAUUCUCAUCCACUUAUUGAGUAGAAGGAUCAUGUCAUGAAAUCAAAAGAUUAUGGAAUAACUUGUAACAAAAUAUUUUUCCCGUAAUGAUAUACUAUAUCCCAUAUGAUUGAAGAAAAAGAAAAAUGACUUGCCUGACUUUCUUCACCAGAAUGGUGCAUAAUAGGCUCAUUAGAAUUGCUAAUACAAAUAAGAAACAAAAUGCUAUAAACCCAAAAGAGUAGUACAGCGACCCUAAAACAUGCUUUAACUUUUCCUUAAAGUUGUGACUCAAAUAUUUAAGAUCACAACAAAGUUCUCAUUUCAAUUGUUCUAAAUGCAACAACGAGCUGCAUGCAUAUUGACUUGUCUUGCUACAUUGAUUAAUAGUUUUUAACGUUGGAAAGGAAACACAAAAAAUUUAAGCUAUAGUGAUGAUUGAGUAAUAUUUCUGAGAUCUGAAUUAAAAUGUGUAAUACCUUUCCUAUUUCGGAUGGUAUGAAUUAUGCGUUAUGUUUCUUGUAGGGAGAUGUAAGUUGGCCUACCUACCUUCCAUUUUUGCCUAUAAAAGAAAUUUUUUGUUCAAUAUAAUACUGGAACUAAUAAGAAUUAGAAAAGUAUUUCUAUUUCCAGUCAAAGAAAAUUGAGACGUCAAAACCAGAAACCUUAUUGUAACUUGAAUGUUUGUGAUGUCUUUUGUAAGCAUUAUUUUCCAUUCAGUUGGUACUAGCUUAAUUAUCUUUAGUAAGGUUCUAUUUGAUAAUUUAACUCAGCACUCAAACUUAAUGGGUUCAGAUCAUAAUAUGUUCAAACGCAUUUGAUAACUAAAAAUAAGACAUUUGAAUUAAUUAAGUGACACUGAAUUUUGCACAAUUUAUUUCAAAAAUAAGUGAUAAAUUAUUCAAGUAUCACUUAAUGUGAUAUACAUUUAAAUGUUUCAGAUUUAAUACUCAACAAUUCAGUAAAUUAACGAAUUUAGACUUUAGAUUUCAAAUUUCAUUUUUCAAACUUUAGUUUUAUCAAACGUACCCUAAGGGUGUGUUUGAUAAAACUGAAGUCUGAAUCUAUUAAAUUAUUGAAUUUUUAAGUAUUAAAUCUAAUACAUUUGACUGCAUAUCACAUUCAGUAAUAAGUGAAUAGCUUAUCACUUAAUUUUGGGAGCAAAUUUUGCCUAGAAAAUUUAAUACUAUUUAAUUAAUUCAGAUGUUAAAUUUUUUAUUAUCAAAUGGUCUGAAUAUAUUAAAAAUUGAAUCCAUUAAGUUUAAAUGCUGAAUUGGAUUAUCAAACAGAAUCUAAGUCUAUUAAGGGGAUUGAACCAAUAAAUUUGAUGAGUUUCAGUUUAACAAUAUAUUUAACAAAUUAUCACUGCCCAAUAAGGGCCCAUCUAAAAACACUUGAAACAAGUGCAUGCUUGUUUGGUGAUUUCCGGCUGGGCUCCCGCUGCUCUUGCAGUGUCCAUUAACGAAUUCCUAUUGUCAAUUUUGGGUCGUAUAUCCACCAGCCCAUGGAAUUUAUUUACAAAGGGAAAUCCUUUUAAGUUGUGAAUUUAAUUAGUAUAACGAGAAAUAAUUUGAGAAAAUUACAACAAAGUACAAACCAUAUGUGCAAGUUUUCUCAAACACAUACCAAUUAUGAAUAGCUUAAGAAAUGAUGAAUAAAUCAUCUUUUUCAGCUUUUCUUUUUGGCCCAUUGUUAAAUCUUCUUUGUUCCCUCAACAAAAAAAAAAAGAAGAAAGAAAUAAACUUCAUCUUUUUAAUUAGUGAAUAAAAUGUAUAUGAAGAGAAAAAGAUAAUUAAAUAUCUUAAUACUAAAACAUAAUGCUACUUAAGAAGUUUCAAAAAUUUUGGUAUCAGUUAGUGAUAAUAAUUUCUCCUAACGCAUUCUUUUAUCUACUACAAAAAAAAAACGUUAUAACUUAUUAUAAAAACCAUCCAAAAUCACAUUGAUUCUUAAGUAUUCCCCUUUCUCCUUGUAAGGGAUGAAUUGCAUCCAAAUCAGGUUCCUUACAAGUGGCUAGCACCCUAAUGGCCUAAUCCAUGGAAGCCAUAUUACAAAAGUGGACUACAAAAGCUAGGGGAAUAUAAUUUCCCAUACUUCUUAUUGUAAUCAUUCCCAAUUUACCUUGGCAUAUACUGGUUUGUUACAAGACUUCAAUCGCUAGCUCUGAACCUCUGGCUAGUAUGUAAUGGCAGAUUAUCUACUAGGAUCAGAGGCAGUUACUAGAUUGGAAAUCAAUACCAGACUAGUAGUGCCCUUUAUCUUGUUGCUUUUGUAUCAUUGGGUUCUUGAAAACAAAAGGCUAGAGAAUCACACCGGGCACAAGUUGCAGUAAAUGAAUUUUGAUUGAACAUGAAUUUAGCAUUUUACCCACCUCAAAUGCUAUUCUGGAAAGUUGCCAAAACUGAAGUUUAAGCUCAAAAAACUGCUUGAACACUGCCCCAAACAGGGCCUUUUUUUUUUUUUUUUUUUUUUUUUUAAAAACUACUUGAGUAAGUUCUACGAAAUCCAGGACUAGAAACUCUUGUUCCACUUGAUACGCUGAUUGUCUUGAUGCCAUUUGCCUAACUUCUGAGUGGAUCGGGACUGGAGAAGGAAGACAAACGCAUGUGUGGCCUUCAUUUAUGCCCCGUCUGCUGCUUCAGAAUCUAGUUGCAGUUCCCGUCUAAGAGGAAGAAUCUAAAGGACAAAGAAACAAGCAGAAGACUUUAGUAGUCAUGAAAUUAUCAUUAGUCUCCUCAGGGCUGGAAUUUGAAAAAAACCCUGAAUACUAACAUGUUGAUAUUGGCUACCCAGAACAGAAAGUUAUCGCUAAAAUAAUUACAAGCUAAUACCAUCAUUUCUAAUUUUGAACUUACGUUUCAGUGUAUCUAAUCCUUAUUAAUUUGUAUAAUUGCUAAUUCUUUCUACUAAUUAAGUCAAAAGAGAAUUGUUUUGAAUGAUCUUUUUUCUUUUUCGAAAAUUGUAAUAUAAUAUUUUGAUCAUAAGCGCAUUUGAGAUUUUCAAAGAUGUUAGAUAGUGAUUCUUGAAAACAACGAAAAACUCCACCCAAACAGAUAAGCCAUGUCUGUAUCUUUUUUCUAUCUUUCUUAGAGGUAAUCCACGAAUUGGACACUAACUAAGAAAACAUCAUAACAUUGACAUAUUAGAACACUGAAGUUCACAUUACCAGAAGAAUAAAAAAUGAGGGAUGAGAACUGACUGAAAUUAUGCAGGAGGAUUAUUGAGAGAGAAGCAUCUUCGAAUCAUUCCUAGAAUACAAGACAAGACCAUCAACAUCUCUGAAAUUUCUCAUGUAGAAAAUUUGUUAAGAAGAUUAACAUGUACGCGCAAAAUGAUAGCAGCCAAUCGCCCUAUAUAAACCCCCAAGCUGUGGCAUCUUGAAACCACAACCAGCUACCAGUUCACUUAGAAUUUUUGAAACACCAUGAAGUUCACCUACAUUUUGUCCCUUUUGGUUUUGUGCCUAACUUUAUACUUCACUUUCGCCAAUGCUGCAAAUUUCAACAUCACAAACAAAUGUACCUACACAGUUUGGGCAGCUGCUUCCACAGGUGAUGGCAGGCAACUCGACCGAGGCCAAUCAUGGUCCCUAGAUGUGGCUCCUGGCACCACCAAAGCUCGCAUUUGGGGCCGAACCAAUUGCAAAUUUGAUGCCAAUGGCCAGGGCCAAUGUCAAACAGGUGACUGCAACAAGCGCCUCAAAUGCCAAGGCUAUGGAAAUCCACCAAAUACGCUAGCUGAAUUUGCCCUAAACCAGCCUAACAACUUAGACUACAUCGACAUCUCCAACGUUGAUGGAUUCAACAUCCCAAUGGAGUUCAGCUCUGUAACUCCGUGCCGCGUUAUCAAAUGUUCGAAACCUAUUGUUGAUCAAUGCCCAGCUCAGCUAAGAACUCCAGGUGGAUGCAACAACCCCUGCACUGUUUUUAAAAGAAAUGAGUACUGCUGCACCAAUGGCCCAGGAAGCUGUGGCCCGACCGACUUCUCCAGGUUCUUUAAGAGCAGGUGCCCUGAUGCUUAUAGCUAUCCUCAAGAUGAUCGCACAAGCUUGUUUGCUUGCCCAAGUGGUACAAAUUAUAGGGUUGUCUUCUGCCCUUAAAUAAAGCUAGAUAUUUAAGGUUCUUGUGACAGCUUAUAUGCUCCAAGAACUUCACCAGAAAAGUAGAUUAUGAGAAAUAAACGCAUAUGUGAACCUUGUGGUAAUGGUUCACUGGAAUUGGGAUAAGUUUGAGCACAUAUAGCAUUGUGCGAUUUGUCUUCUUUAUCAGCAUUUUGGCUCUUUAAACAACUUAUGAACUAGAUCACCAGUUCAAAACUAAUGAAGUUUUACUAAAUUAAUCUGUAAGAAGGAUUUACAGAUCUCUAGUUUUAAAUUAGAUUGUCAAAAUACUUUGUUCCCCGCACUUCAAAAAUUUGAGUCAUAUUUAGGUUUAACUUACACAGGAGAAUUCCUUUUUUUUGGAAUUCAGACUA
rnacentral:lncRNA from 1 species